rnacentral:rRNA from 1 species
GAUGAACGCUGGCGGCGUGCCUAAUACAUGCGAGUCGAGCGAACAGACGAGGAGCUUGCUCCUCUGACGUUAGCGGCGGACGGGUGAGUAACACGUGGAUAACCUACCUAUAAGACUGGGAUAACUUCGGGAAACCGGAGCUAAUACCGGAUAAUAUAUUGAACCGCAUGGUUCAAUAGUGAAAGACGGUUUUGCUGUCACUUAUAGAUGGAUCCGCGCCGCAUUAGCUAGUUGGUAAGGUAACGGCUUACCAAGGCGACGAUGCGUAGCCGACCUGAGAGGGUGAUCGGCCACACUGGAACUGAGACACGGUCCAGACUCCUACGGGAGGCAGCAGUAGGGAAUCUUCCGCAAUGGGCGAAAGCCUGACGGAGCAACGCCGCGUGAGUGAUGUAGGUCUUCGGAUCGUAAAACUCUGUUAUUAGGGAAGAACAAAUGUGUAAGUAACUAUGCACGUCUUGACGGUACCUAAUCAGAAAGCCACGGCUAACUACGUG